rnacentral:rRNA from 1 species
GUCGUGCGCAAGGCGAACGGGAAAUGGAGGCUUUGUAUAGACUUCACUGAUGUCAAUAAAGCUUGUCCCAAAGAUCCAUUUCCCUUGCCGCGCAUUGACCAGAUUGUUGACUCCACAGCUGGAUGUGAUUUGCUUUCAUUUCUUGAUGCAUAUUCAGGAUACCAUCAAAUCUUCAUGGCAGAAGAGGAUGAGGAAAAAACCGCAUUUAUCACCCCUUGCGGCAUAUACUGUUUUGUACGGAUGCCCUUUGGGUUGAAGAAUGCUGGUUCAACAUUUGCAAGGGUAGUCCAUGUCGCUUUUGAGCCACAGAUACACAGAAAUGUGGAAGCCUACAUGGAUGAUAUAGUGGUCAAGAGCAAGGACAAGGCUACCCUGAUCCAAGAUUUAGAAGAAACUUUUGCAAAUCUG